rnacentral:rRNA from 1 species
CCUACGGGAGGCAGCAGUGAGGAAUAUUGGUCAAUGGGCGCGAGUCUGAACCAGCCAAGUAGCGUGAAGGAUGACUGCCCUAUGGGUUGUAAACUUCUUUUAUAUGGGAAUAAAAUGUUCCACGUGUGGGAUGUUGUAUGUACCAUAUGAAUAAGUAUCGGCUAACUCCGUGCCAGCAGCCGCGGUAAUACGGAGGAUCCGAGCGUUAUCCGGAUUUAUUGGGUUUAAAGGGAGCGUAGGCGGAUUGUUAAGGCAGUUGUGAAAGUUUGCGGCUUAAACGUCAAAUUGCAGUUGAAACUGGCAGUCUCGAGUACAGUAGAGGUGGGCGGAAUACGUGGUGUAGCGGUGAAAUGCUUAGA